GACGAACGCUGGCGGCGUGCUUAACACAUGCAAGUCGAACGGUGACGAGGAGCUUGCUCCUCUGAUCAGUGGCGAACGGGUGAGUAACACGUGAGCAACCUGCCCCAGACUCUGGGAUAACAGUUGGAAACAGCUGCUAAUACCGGAUACGAGACGGAGAGGCAUCUCUACCGUCUGGAAAGUUUUUCGGUCUGGGAUGGACUCGCGGCCUAUCAGCCAGUUGGUGAGGUAAUGGCUCACCAAGGCGACGACGGGUAGCCGGCCUGAGAGGGCGACCGGCCACACUGGGACUGAGACACGGCCCAGACUCCUACGGGAGGCAGCAGUGGGGAAUAUUGCUACAAUGGGCGAAAGCCUGAUGCAGCGACGCCGCGUGAGGGAUGAAGGCCUUCGGGUUGUAAACCUCGUUUCAGCAGGGAAGAAGCGAAGUGACGGUACCUGCAGAAGAAGCA
rnacentral:rRNA from 1 species